rnacentral:rRNA from 1 species
AACGAACGCUGGCGGCAUGCCUAACACAUGCAAGUCGAACGAGACCUUCGGGUCUAGUGGCGCACGGGUGCGUAACGCGUGGGAACCUGCCCUUAGGUUCGGAAUAACUCCCCGAAAGGGGUGCUAAUACCGGAUAAUGUCUUCGGACCAAAGAUUUAUCGCCUUUGGAUGGGCCCGCGUUGGAUUAGCUAGUUGGUAGGGUAAAAGCCUACCAAGGCGACGAUCCAUAGCUGGUCUGAGAGGAUGAUCAGCCACACUGGGACUGAGACACGGCCCAGACUCCUACGGGAGGCAGCAGUGGGGAUUAUGGGACAAUGGCGAAAGCCUGAUCCAGCAAUGCCGCGUGAGUGAUGAAGGCCUUAGGGUUGCAAAGCUCUUUUACCCGGGAUGAUAAUGACAGUACCGGGAGAAUAAGCUCCGGCUAACUCCGUG